GUGGGGAAUAUUGCGCAAUGGGCGAAAGCCUGAUCCAGCCAUGCCGCGUGUGUGAAGAAGGCCUUCGGGUUGUAAAGCACUUUAAGCGAGGAGGAAAGGUUGAAGGUUAAUACCCUUUAGCUGUGACGUUACUCGCAGAAUAAGCACCGGCAAACUUCGUGCCAGCAGCCGCGGUAAUACGAAGGGUGCAAGCGUUAAUCGGAAUUACUGGGCGUAAAGCGCGAGUAGGUGGUUAAGUAAGCGAUCUGUGAAAGCCCCGGGCUCAAACUGGGAAUUGCAGGUCGAACUGCUUGGCUAGAGUAUGGUAGAGGGGUGUGGAAUUCCAGGUGUAGCGGUGAAAUGCGUAGAUAUCUGGAAGAACACCGGUGGCGAAGGCGGCUUGCUGGACAGUAACUGACGUUGAGGCUCGAAAGCGUGGGGAGCAAACAGGAUUAGAAACCCUUGUAGUCC
rnacentral:rRNA from 1 species